rnacentral:lncRNA from 1 species
AUGAGGAUGAGGAUGAGGAUGAGGAUGAGGAUGAAGGUGAGGAUGAGGGUGAGGAUGAGGAUGAGGAUGAGGAUGAGGAUGAAGAUGAGGGUGAGGAUGAUGAAGGUGAGGAAGAUGAGGAUGAGGAUGAGGGUGAGGAUGAGGAUGAAGGUGAGGAUGAGGAUGAAGGUGAGGAUGAGGAUGAGGAUGAGGAUGAGGAAGGCGAGGAGGAGGAGGAGGAAGAUGAGGAGGAAGAGGAGGAGGAAGAUGAGGAUGAGGAUGAGGAUGAGGGUGAGGAUGAGGAUGAAGAUGAGGAUGAGGAUGAGGAUGAGGAUGAGAAUGAAGGUGAGGAUGAGGAUGAAGGUGAGGAUGAGGAUGAAGGUGAGGAUGAGGAUGAGGGUGAGGAUGAGGGUGAGGAUGAGGAAGGUGAGGAAGAUGAGGAUGAAGGUGAGGAUGAGGAUGAGGAUGAGGAUGAGGAUGAAGGUGAGGAUGAGGAUGAGGAUGAGGAUGAGGAUGAGGAUGAGGAUGAGGGUGAGGAUGAGGAUGAAGGUGAGGAUGAUGAUGAGGAUGAUGAUGAUGAUGAGGAUGAAGAUGAUGAUGAGGAUGAGGAUGAGGAUGAAGGUGAGGAUGAGGAUGAGGAUGAGGAUGAGGAUGAGGAUGAAGAUGAGGAUGAAGGUGAGGAUGAGGGUGAGGAUGAAGAUGAGGAUGAGGAUGAGAAUGAGGAUGAGGAUGAGGAAGGUGAGGAAGAUGAGGAUGAAGGUGAGGAUGAGGAUGAAGGUGAGGAUGAGGAUGAGGAUGAGGAUGAGGAAGGCGAGGAGGAGGAGGAGGAAGAUGAGGAGGAAGAGGAGGAGGAAGAUGAGGAUGAGGAUGAGGAUGAGGGUGAGGAUGAGGAUGAAGAUGAGGAUGAGGAUGAGGAUGAGGAUGAGAAUGAAGGUGAGGAUGAGGAUGAAGGUGAGGAUGAGGAUGAAGGUGAGGAUGAGGAUGAGGGUGAGGAUGAGGGUGAGGAUGAGGAAGGUGAGGAAGAUGAGGAUGAAGGUGAGGAUGAGGAUGAGGAUAGGAUGA